UGAACGCUAGCUACAGGCUUAACACAUGCAAGUCGAGGGGCAUCAGGAAGAAAGCUUGCUUUCUUUGCUGGCGACCGGCGCACGGGUGAGUAACACGUAUCCAACCUGCCCUUUACUCGGGGAUAGCCUUUCGAAAGAAAGAUUAAUACCCGAUAGCAUAAUGAUUCCGCAUGGUUUCAUUAUUAAAGGAUUCCGGUAAAGGAUGGGGAUGCGUUCCAUUAGGUUGUUGGUGAGGUAACGGCCCACCAAGCCUUCGAUGGAUAGGGGUUCUGAGAGGAAGGUCCCCCACAUUGGAACUGAGACACGGUCCAAACUCCUACGGGAGGCAGCAGUGAGGAAUAUUGGUCAAUGGGCGCUAGCCUGAACCAGCCAAGUAGCGUGAAGGAUGAAGGCUCUAUGGGUCGUAAACUUCUUUUAUAUAAGAAUAAAGUGCAGUAUGUAUACUGUUUUGUAUGUAUUAUAUGAAUAAGGAUCGGCUAACUCCGUGCCAGCAGCCGCGGUAAUACGGAGGAUCCGAGCGUUAUCCGGAUUUAUUGGGUUUAAAGGGAGCGUAGGUGGACUGGUAAGUCAGUUGUGAAAGUUUGCGGCUCAACCGUAAAAUUGCAGUUGAUACUGUCAGUCUUGAGUACAGUAGAGGUGGGCGGAAUUCGUGGUGUAGCGGUGAAAUGCUUAGAUAUCACGAAGAACUCCGAUUGCGAAGGCAGCUCACUGGACUGCAACUGACACUGAUGCUCGAAAGUGUGGGUAUCAAACAGGAUUAGAUACCCUGGUAGUCCACACAGUAAACGAUGAAUACUCGCUGUUUGCGAUAUACAGUAAGCGGCCAAGCGAAAGCAUUAAGUAUUCCACCUGGGGAGUACGCCGGCAACGGUGAAACUCAAAGGAAUUGACGGGGGCCCGCACAAGCGAAGGAACAUGUGGUUUAAUUCGAUGAUACGCGAGGAACCUUACCCGGGCUUAAAUUGCAGUGGAAUGAUGUGGAAACAUGUCAGUGAGCAAUCACCGCUGUGAAGGUGCUGCAUGGUUGUCGUCAGCUCGUGCCGUGAGGUGUCGGCUUAAGUGCCAUAACGAGCGCAACCCUUAUCUUUAGUUACUAACAGGUUAUGCUGAGGACUCUGGAGAGACUGCCGUCGUAAGAUGUGAGGAAGGUGGGGAUGACGUCAAAUCAGCACGGCCCUUACGUCCGGGGCUACACACGUGUUACAAUGGGGGGUACAGAAGGCAGCUAGCGGGUGACCGUAUGCUAAUCCCAAAAGCCUCUCUCAGUUCGGAUCGAAGUCUGCAACCCGACUUCGUGAAGCUGGAUUCGCUAGUAAUCGCGCAUCAGCCACGGCGCGGUGAAUACGUUCCCGGGCCUUGUACACACCGCCCGUCAAGCCAUGGGAGCCGGGGGUACCUGAAGUACGUAACCGCAAGGAUCGUCCUAGGGUAAAACUGGUGAAUGGG
rnacentral:rRNA from 1 species